rnacentral:rRNA from 2 species
CUGGAAUUUCUAGUGUAGGAGUGAAAUCCGUAGAUAUUAGAAGGAACACCGAUGGCGUAGGCAGGUUACUGGGCCAUUUCUGACGCUAAGGCACGAAAGCGUGGGGAGCGAACCGGAUUAGAUACCCGGGUAGUCCACGCCGUAAACGAUGGAUACUAGCUGUUGGAGGUAUCGACCCCUUCAGUAGCGAAGCUAACGCGUUAAGUAUCCCGCCUGUGGAGUACGGCCGCAAGGCUAAAACAUAAAGGAAUUGACGGGGACCCGCACAAGCGGUGGAUUAUGUUCUUUAAUUCGAUGAUAACCGAAGAACCUUACCAGGGCUUGACAUCCAGGGAAGGUCUGCGAAAGUAGACUGUGCCUUUUGGAACCCUGUGACAGGUGAUGCAUGGCCGUCGUCAGCUCGUGUCGUGAGAUGUUAGGUUAAGUCCUUCAACGAGCGCAACCCUUGUGAAUAGUUGUAUUUUUCUAUUCAGACUGCCCCGGUAACGGGGAGGAAGGAGGGGAUGAUGUCAGGUCAGUAUUUCCCUUACGUCCUGGGCUAGAAACGUAAUACAAUGGCUAGUACAAUGCGCAGCGAAGCCGCGAGGUGAAGCAAAUCGCAUCAAAGCUAGUCCCAGUUCGGAUUGUAGGCUGAAACUCGCCUGCAUGAAGUCGGAAUCGCUAGUAAUCGCAAAUCAGCAAGUUGCGGUGAAUACGUUCCCGGGUCUUGUACACACCGCCCGUCAAACCAUGAAAGUGACCAACACCCGAAGUCCGAUUCGUCGGCCUAAGGUGGGGGGCAUGAUUGGGGUUAAGUCGUAACAAGGUAUCCGUACCGGAAGGUGCGGAUG